GCCGGGGUGGCGGAAUGGUAGACGCGGCGGUCUCAAAAACCGCUGAGGUUAAACUCGUGAGGGUUCGAGUCCCUCCCCCGGCACCA
rnacentral:tRNA from 1 species